rnacentral:rRNA from 1 species
AAGUUUCAACAACGGCUCUCUUGGCUCUCGCAUCGAUGAAGAACGCAGCGAAAUGCGAUAAGUAAUGUGAAUUGCAGAAUUCAGUGAAUCAUCGAAUCUUUGAACGCACCUUGCGCUCCUUGGUAUUCCUUGGAGCAUGCCUGUUUGAGUAUCAU